CACGUAGGGCGCAAGCGUUGUCCGGAAUUAUUGGGCGUAAAGAGCUCGUAGGCGGUUUGUCGCGUCUGCCGUGAAAGUCCGGGGCUCAACUCCGGAUCUGCGGUGGGUACGGGCAGACUAGAGUGAUGUAGGGGAGACUGGAAUUCCUGGUGUAGCGGUGAAAUGCGCAGAUAUCAGGAGGAACACCGAUGGCGAAGGCAGGUCUCUGGGCAUUAACUGACGCUGAGGAGCGAAAGCAUGAGGAGCGAACAGG
rnacentral:rRNA from 1 species